GGGAUAACAUCUCAAGGUGUAUUUCCUGUGUCAGACAGCACCUUUUUUUUCUCAACUUGGUAACAUAAGAUAGUUGUUUUUAUGAUAGUCUGGGUUAACGUUUAAUGACUUUGUGAUAGUUACAUAUGAAGAACCGCAGUAAGCCUUUUACCUAUCAACAGCCGCAGAUCCUGGUGUACGCACGCAGUGAGCAGCCUGUUGCUGACGGCCCGAGAGGAAUAAAGGUAUUUAAUAAAGCAUUUAUUGUUCCUGCGCUACAAAAAUGGCAAAGACAACAAUAAUUUUGGCCCUGGCAUUGCUGCUGCUUGCAUCAGUCACCACAUUCUUGGGUGUGUUCUAUGGUGUGGAGAGGAUACCGGCUGAGCAGGUGUACCUGAAGGCAGCAGUGGCAGCCGACGCUGGGCCGUGUUCAGAGGUUGGCAGAGACAUACUGAUGAAAGGGGGUUCUGCAGUAGAUGCCUCUAUAGCUGCUUUACUAUGUGUUGGACUUAUGAACGCUCACAGUAUGGGCAUCGGAGGAGGACUUUUCCUAACCAUCUACAACGCCAAAACUGGACUGGUUGAGACAAUUGAUGCCAGGGAGACGGCUCCACGCAAUGCAACGCAGGACAUGUUUGGGAACAGUACAGAUUUAUCCCAGAGAGGAGGAUUGGCUAUCGCUGUACCGGGGGAGAUUCGAGGUUAUGAAAUGGCGCACAAACGACAUGGCAAACUGCCUUGGAAAGACUUGUUCCAGCCGAGCAUUGCUCUUGCAGAAAAGGGUUUUCCUUUGGGCAGGGCACUUGCGUCUGCUAUGUCCAGCCACAGGAAUACCAUCAUCAAGGACCCAGCCCUUUGUGAAGUGUUUUGUGGGCAAAAUGGGGACAUCCUGAAAGAGAAGGACACCAUCAGAUUUACCAAGCUUGCAGAAACAUAUAGGAAAAUAGCAGAAGAGGGUCCUGAUGCUUUCUACCAUGGACCACUGGCCCAGAGCCUUGUGGAUGAUAUUCAGGCAGCAGGCGGCAUCAUCACAAUGGAGGAUCUCAAGGAUUAUGUGCCUGUCUUGGAUGAAAAGCCUUUAAAGGUGGAUGUGGGGGAGUACACCAUGGCUGUUCCCAAUGCCCCCGCUAGCGGCCCUGUGCUCUCACUGAUAUUAAACAUCUUGAAUGGGUACAACUUCACAGCAGAAAGUCUGUCAAGCAGAGAGAAAAAGAUUCUAACCUACCAUCGCAUCGUGGAGGCUUUUCGCUUCGCAUAUGCAAAGAGGACCUUACUUGGGGAUCCGAAGUUCCUCAACAUAACCAAUCUCAUCAAGAAUAUGACUUCAACCUCUUAUGCCAAUGACCUUCGUGAGAAGAUCACAGAUAACACCACACACCACAUGAACUACUACGAGCCGGAGUUUUACAUGCCUGAAAACCACGGGACCGCUCACCUCUCUGUGGUAGCAGAAGAUGGAAGCGCCGUGGCCGCCACCAGCACCAUCAACCAAUAUUUGGGCUCCAAGGUUAUGUCAAGAUCAACGGGGAUAAUUCUCAACAAUGAGAUGGACGACUUCAGCUCUCCACUCAUCACAAACGGCUUCGGAGUGCCUCCUUCACCCAACAACUUCAUCAUACCAGGAAAGAGGCCAAUGUCUUCCAUGUGUCCGGCUAUCCUCUUUGAUAAAAACAACAAAGUAAAGAUGGUGGUCGGAGGCUCAGGAGGAACGAAAAUCACAACUUCUAUCGCUCAGGUAAAAUUGCAAGAAGUUACAUCAACGAGUUGUAUUAUUUCAGCUAUGUAAUUACUCCUUGGCUGUUUGGUUAUAAUUGUCUCAAAUGUCUGCUGUUUUGUAGGUGAUUUUGAGGCACUGUUCUUCGACUAUGAUCUGAAAAAAGCUGUGUCGGAUCCAAGGCUCCACAACCAGCUGAGUCCCAAUGCCACUGUAGCAGAACCACAAUUUGACAAAUACAUCCUGAAAGGUCUGGCAUUGAAGAACCACGAGGUAGAGUACCUCAAAUCGACAGGCGCUGUGGUGCAGGCGGUGGCUCGCUAUGAUGACGGACUCCACGCUCAAUCAGAUCCUCGCAAGUGGGCGUACGCCGCUGGGUACUGAGAUCAUAAAAACAACUCUGAUUAUGCACAGAGCCUGUAGCUACAUGAACUUUGACACCAGUGGUAAGAGCUGAGAGAUUAGAGACUUAAUAAAAAACAAGGAAACGACGUUUACACCAAUUGCUCUUUCAUUAAGAUAGAACAUUUUUUCAUGACACGCAACUCAGAUAACAGCACAUUGACUUUUACUCACUUUGACCGUGAAACAAAACGACCCAGUCUGAAAUUAAUUCAGAAUAUUUAGUCUCAUGUCCACUGCAUUUAUAUGCAACAUCAUUUCAAGUGAUAAAGAACUGCACAAGCCAUUAGAAGUUUAACCAUCAUCAGUGUUUUUUUUAACACCCUCGGCCGUAAAUGUUUCCAACCCCUGUUAAUGAAGCACUUUUGUAAAUCAUUAGCAGUGUAAAGCUGUUCAUUUUGUUUUCCUUUAAAGGUAUGAUUUGUGACGUCCAUGGUAAUUCCCAACAAUUAAACAUAAUUAAAUUAAAUAAUCUUUUAGACUUUAACAUAUUUCACCAGGAUGUUCAUAAGAGGUGAGAACAAACAAAGGGGAGGGCAGGCAUAACCCUUUUUUUAAAUAAAGGAUCAUAAAACCUCAGGGACAAACAGUCCUAAUGACUUACUGUACAGUAAUUUCCCGUAGCCGUGAGUGCAAUCGCCUGUAAUGACCCCAUAACAAUAUCACAGCUGUCUCUGCUCACUGUCUGGCUGGGAUUCAGGGCUCUUCUUUUCUCAGCAGCAAUGUAAAUGUGUUACUUAAUUAUUCAAAUGUAAAAGAAAGUGUAAAAUGAUCCUGCCUUUAUCCAAGUUUUGCUUGAAAUGUCUGGUUUACCUGUGAUAGAAACUGUUAUAACACAAAUAGGUUUAACAUUCACACCACAUAUUUAUUUACAAUCUCAAUGUUUAUAGAUCACAAUAGUUUUUUAUUGUUUUUAUCAAAUUAAUUGAAGAGUUAUUCUAGAUUAUUUUAUUUUCCUUCAAAAUAAACACUUGAAAUGAACAUACUGUGAUAAAUAAAAACAAACUGACUAUGUAAAAGUA